UCCCUCUUUCCCUUCUUCCAAACCGCUUCCACUUCGAUCUCUUCCCGAUUGUUCUAAUUUUUAACCUGAUUUCUUCUACUUCAUCUACCGUCAUUUCUCACUCUUCUCUCAAACGAUCAUCAGGUGCUCAGAAAUCACAGAAGGUUCCUAUCGAUCUCCUCACAUCGGUUAUCACCUUUACCCUCCUUCUCUACAUGCUCCGUUGAUCAGUUCGUCAGUGUCUACACACCUUCUCUCAGGAGGAGGCGAUGGAAACUAGUGUAUAGGCGGAUAUCUCUACUUCUCUUUGUUGAUGAUUCUCACGAAAUCAGUUCCCUCUUCACGUUCAAUGUUCUUCCUUCUAACUUCAGAUUGCCGAUGCUUCAUGAAUGAUAUUCUUUUGCUACUAUCGAUGGUGUCCAAGACAGGCCUAAGAGGUUGGCAAAAAAAAACCCCUAUUUAUGGGUUUGGGUCUUUUUUGGUUCUUCCUUCACCGAUAUCCGUAUGUUCCCGCCGUUCAUUACUGAUUUGGGCGUGAUGAAGCCUACAACAACUGAUGUCGGCUGCUUUUUGGUUGGCGUGUCUUCGCUUUUUGGGUUUACUUUCAUAUAUGUUGUUUCUGCAAUUGGAUAUUGUUUAUGCAAUUGGAUAUUGUUUAUGCAAUUGGAGAAUGCGAGCACGAAAAAGAACACUAAGUGGUUGGUAGUUAAGUUACGACCGAGGAGGAUUUCAUCAUCACCACUCACCACCUGAUGCACUGCAUCACCCUUGAUGUUGUAAUGAGAUUUGAAGGAGAAUUUGACUAUGCACCCCAACUGGUCGAUGAAAUGCUUGAACUAGGUGGGAAGUGUGUCUUGGCCUCAGAACUACAAUGAUUCAAAUAUCAACAAGCUUGGUAAGCAUCUUCCUUACUAAAAUAUUGCUUAACUCGAUUGAGAUCCAAUUAUUUGUAGUUGUGUUGGUGUUUGAUGUCUCUAUUGUUUUUGUGUUUGAUACCUGUAUUGCAACAUCUUACUUUCAUUUUAUUUCAUCUCUAAGCAUUGGACACUGGUAUACUUGGAUCCAAUUAGACCAACCACAACCAAAAUGUUCAAACCUUUGAUUAUUAUUUUAUAAAGGUACAUGUUUUUUGCUGAUUUUUUUCCCAGUUUUAACUGUUAUAGUAUAUUUAUUUCAUAAGAGUUCAAAUUAGGCCUCGUCACCUAUUCUAUUACUGCAUUAUUUAUGAAUUGGAUUUCUUACUACAACCGGUAAAAACAAAAAUGGCAUUUGUUUCAUUUUGCAAGGAAUAUGAUUAGACUUUUUCCCAUACCUUAAAUCACAAUGCUUGAAAUCUGAAAAUAUGAUGUCAUUGUGGAUGCUUGAUGGCUAUGGGUCAAGCUCUAUGGAUUUCAAAUCAAGUGAAGGCUUCCAACCCCGUGGUGGCAGCUGCCUAUGCUUCAAAUAUUGAAAAAAUUGGGUCUGAAUCUGGGCUGGAUCAUUUGUGAGAGGCUUAUCAGAAGAUGAAGAUGGUGAUGGUAACAUUCCUUCAUAGUCUUUACAAAUAUAUCCAAAAUUAAUGAUGAUUUUGUUUAGGUUCUUUCUAAUGAAACUUAUGAGCACAUAAGUUUUGCAUCUUUACCUGUAUGUCGCAACAAACAGUAACAGUUAAUGGGUUUUCUAAGUUAUACAUACAUAUGACAUAUAUACCUCUUGCAUUCACAGACUGGAUGAAAACUUGGAUAUAUGGUUGCUAUUGAACAUUUUAUUGCUGCCAUUGCAAAAAUUCAAAGUCAGGUACGUACAUAAUCUGAUUGUAAUUAAUUCGAAUUUUUCCAUUUCAGAGGAAGUGACCUUAGGAUUUUGUUUAUUCUUCUCCCUUUUUUUAGAAAAUACGAAUGUUUCA